rnacentral:misc_RNA from 1 species
AAGUCGUAACAAGGUUUCCGUAGGUGAACCUGCGGAAGGAUCAUUACAAAAGUUCAACGCUAUGGGACUAGCUCCCUAGCGGAAUAAACUUUCAACCACUUGUGAAUUUGUAAAACAUUUUCUUACCAAUUGACUGUUAACGAAGUCUGAAUCAAUUAUUUUUGGUGUUUAAAGACACUAAUUUAACAUUGAAACAACUUUUGGCAACGGAUCUCUUGGCUCUC